AUGGUGGGAAAACAAUGGGAGUUAGAGAAGAAUCUGGGGAAGCCUCUAAAUGUUCCCAGUCUUGCUCUGGCAGCUGUUGGAGGCAGAUCACUUCCUUGUAUCGUGUUUAUGUGCAUAUCAAUGAAACGCUACAACUUUCCUAUUCUAAUCAACACUUGGCUGCUACUUCAGCUGAUUAUGGCCCUGGAUAAUUGCCACAGUGAAUCCCGUAUUUAGUGGAAACAAAAUAUAUUGAUGACAAACAUGUUUCUUAUCAAAAGUCAAAAAGAUGGAUCCGAAUUCAGAUCGUGCAGGAAAAACAAGUAUGUAAAUCAUUAUACAGACAAGAUGCAAAUUUACCGAGCCUGGGAAAAAUGAUGAGGACAGCUUCAAAUCUCAAGGAAGAGGUGGCGUCAGGCCUCAUUAUUAUAAAAGCUUGGCUAGUAAAUAGAUUUUUCAGGACAUGCUUGUGUGGAGGUGAAUAUUAAAUCACGAGCCCCCGGGAGGUGGCAGAGCGUGUGAGCGCCCGAUGAAUGUGGAGGAGCAGCUAAUGGGCUGGAAUCACUGAGGUCAUGAUUGUCAUUCCUCAUUGUGCUUCCAUGCCAGUUAUGCCUAAUCAGAUGAUUAAGCCGGUAAUUUAAGGCCAUAGGUUUUCUCUUUAUCUAGUCUAUGUGGCUUUACAGUUUAAAAAAAUGAUUUUGUUUUGACAUUAUGCACCUGAUCUGUUGUGUGUUCUAUGCAUAUGGAUAUCUUAGCCCAAAACAGUUCUCCAGGACUACACUCAGACAGAAAGACAGCACAUAGACGAACUCCUAACUUUCUUGGAAAUCCUACUUGAAAAGUGACUUCUGUGAUAGGUUAAAUUGUCUCCCUGCAAAGUAUCCAUGUCUCAACUCUUAAAACCCACGGAUGUUAAUUUGCAGAUUCGAUAAAGUUAAAUGUGUUGAGAUGAGAAGAUUGUCCUCCAUUACCUGGGUGGGCCCAAAAUUCCAUCACAUAUAUUCCCUUGUAAAAGGGAGAUGAGGGAGAUGUGACCACAGAAGAGAAUGAAGGGAUGUGGCCACAAGCCAAGGAUUGCAGCAGCUAUCAGAAGCUGGAAGAGACGAGAAAUGGAUUCUACCCAGGGGGCUCCAGAGCAGGGGUCCCCAACCCCAGGGCCGCACAGCAGGAGGUGAGCAGCUGGCCAGGGAGCAAAGCUUCACCUGUAUUGACAGCUGCUCCCCGUUGCUCACAUUAAGGCCUGAGCUCCACCUCCCGUCCUAUGACCGGAGGUAUUAGAUUCUCAGAGGAGGCGAACCUUAUUGUGAACUGUGCAUGGGAGGGAUCUAGGUUGCAUGCUCCUCAUGAGAAUCUAAUGCCUGAUGAUCUG
rnacentral:lncRNA from 1 species